UACAGAGGGUGCGAGCGUUAAUCGGAUUUACUGGGCGUAAAGGGCGCGUAGGUGGUUAUGUAAGUGAGAUGUGAAAGCCCCGGGCUUAACCUGGGAACUGCAUCUUAUACUGUGUAACUGGAGUGCAAUAGAGGGUAGUGGAAUUUCCGGUGUAGCGGUGAAAUGCGUAGAUAUCGGAAGGAACACCAGUGGCGAAGGCGGCUACCUGGAUUGACACUGACACUGAGGCGCGAGAGCGUGGGGAGCAAACAGG
rnacentral:rRNA from 1 species